GUGGGGAAUAUUGCACAAUGGGGGAAACCCUGAUGCAGCGACGCCGCGUGAGCGAAGAAGUAUUUCGGUAUGUAAAGCUCUAUCAGCAGGGAAGAAGAAUGACGGUACCUGACUAAGAAGCACCGGCUAAAUACGUGCCAGCAGCCGCGGUAAUACGUAUGGUGCAAGCGUUAUCCGGAUUUACUGGGUGUAAAGGGAGCGCAGGCGGUUCGGCAAGUCUGAUGUGAAAGCCCGGGGCUCAACCCCGGUACUGCAUUGGAAACUGUCGUACUAGAGUGUCGGAGGGGUAAGUGGAAUUCCUAGUGUAGCGGUGAAAUGCGUAGAUAUUAGGAGGAACACCAGUGGCGAAGGCGGCUUACUGGACGAUAACUGACGCUGAGGCUCGAAAGCGUGGGGAGCAAACAGGAUUAGAAACCCGGGUAGUCC
rnacentral:rRNA from 1 species